rnacentral:rRNA from 1 species
CAACGUGGGUAACCUGCCCUGAUGAUCGGGACAACCCGAGGAAACUCGGGCUAAUACCGAAUGUGCCCUCCGGCCAUAAGGCCACUGGGGAAAGGAAGCUUCGGCCUCCGCAUCGGGAUGGGCCCGCGGCCCAUUAGCUUGUUGGUGAGGUAACGGCUCACCAAGGCAAUGAUGGGUAGCUGGUCUGAGAGGACGAUCAGCCACACUGGGACUGAGACACGGCCCAG